UUUACGAGCGCGGUUUGAGCGAGUAACUGUUAAUCACUAGGUCGGCAGUUCGAGCCUGUCCCGGGGAGCCA
rnacentral:tRNA from 2 species